rnacentral:rRNA from 1 species
UUAAGCGACUAAGCGUACACGGUGGAUGCCCUGGCAGUCAGAGGCGAUGAAGGACGUGCUAAUCUGCGAUAAGCGUCGGUAAGGUGAUAUGAACCGUUAUAACCGGCGAUUUCCGAAUGGGGAAACCCAGUGUGUUUCGACACACUAUCAUUAACUGAAUCCAUAGGUUAAUGAGGCGAACCGGGGGAACUGAAACAUCUAAGUACCCCGAGGAAAAGAAAUCAACCGAGAUUCCCCCAGUAGCGGCGAGCGAACGGGGAGCAGCCCAGAGCCUGAAUCAGUGUGUGUGUUAGUGGAAGCGUCUGGAAAGGCGCGCGAUACAGGGUGACAGCCCCGUACACAAAAAUGCACAUGCUGUGAGCUCGAUGAGUAGGGCGGGACACGUGGUAUCCUGUCUGAAUAUGGGGGGACCAUCCUCCAAGGCUAAAUACUCCUGACUGACCGAUAGUGAACCAGUACCGUGAGGGAAAGGCGAAAAGAACCCCGGCGAGGGGAGUGAAAAAGAACCUGAAACCGUGUACGUACAAGCAGUGGGAGCAUGCUUAGGCGUGUGACUGCGUACCUUUUGUAUAAUGGGUCAGCGACUUAUAUUCUGUAGCAAGGUUAACCGAAUAGGGGAGCCGAAGGGAAACCGAGUCUUAACUGGGCGUUAAGUUGCAGGGUAUAGACCCGAAACCCGGUGAUCUAGCCAUGGGCAGGUUGAAGGUUGGGUAACACUAACUGGAGGACCGAACCGACUAAUGUUGAAAAAUUAGCGGAUGACUUGUGGCUGGGGGUGAAAGGCCAAUCAAACCGGGAGAUAGCUGGUUCUCCCCGAAAGCUAUUUAGGUAGCGCCUCGUGAAUUCAUCUCCGGGGGUAGAGCACUGUUUCGGCAAGGGGGUCAUCCCGACUUACCAACCCGAUGCAAACUGCGAAUACCGGAGAAUGUUAUCACGGGAGACACACGGCGGGUGCUAACGUCCGUCGUGAAGAGGGAAACAACCCAGACCGCCAGCUAAGGUCCCAAAGUCAUGGUUAAGUGGGAAACGAUGUGGGAAGGCCCAGACAGCCAGGAUGUUGGCUUAGAAGCAGCCAUCAUUUAAAGAAAGCGUAAUAGCUCACUGGUCGAGUCGGCCUGCGCGGAAGAUGUAACGGGGCUAAACCAUGCACCGAAGCUGCGGCAGCGACGCUUAUGCGUUGUUGGGUAGGGGAGCGUUCUGUAAGCCUGUGAAGGUGUGCUGUGAGGCAUGCUGGAGGUAUCAGAAGUGCGAAUGCUGACAUAAGUAACGAUAAAGCGGGUGAAAAGCCCGCUCGCCGGAAGACCAAGGGUUCCUGUCCAACGUUAAUCGGGGCAGGGUGAGUCGACCCCUAAGGCGAGGCCGAAAGGCGUAGUCGAUGGGAAACAGGUUAAUAUUCCUGUACUUGGUGUUACUGCGAAGGGGGGACGGAGAAGGCUAUGUUGGCCGGGCGACGGUUGUCCCGGUUUAAGCGUGUAGGCUGGUUUUCCAGGCAAAUCCGGAAAAUCAAGGCUGAGGCGUGAUGACGAGGCACUACGGUGCUGAAGCAACAAAUGCCCUGCUUCCAGGAAAAGCCUCUAAGCAUCAGGUAACAUCAAAUCGUACCCCAAACCGACACAGGUGGUCAGGUAGAGAAUACCAAGGCGCUUGAGAGAACUCGGGUGAAGGAACUAGGCAAAAUGGUGCCGUAACUUCGGGAGAAGGCACGCUGAUAUGUAGGUGAAGCGACUUGCUCGUGGAGCUGAAAUCAGUCGAAGAUACCAGCUGGCUGCAACUGUUUAUUAAAAACACAGCACUGUGCAAACACGAAAGUGGACGUAUACGGUGUGACGCCUGCCCGGUGCCGGAAGGUUAAUUGAUGGGGUCAGCGCAAGCGAAGCUCUUGAUCGAAGCCCCGGUAAACGGCGGCCGUAACUAUAACGGUCCUAAGGUAGCGAAAUUCCUUGUCGGGU